rnacentral:rRNA from 1 species
UACGAAGGGGGCUAGCGUUGCUCGGAAUCACUGGGCGUAAAGGGUGCGUAGGCGGGUCUUUUAAGUCAGGGGUGAAAUCCCAGAGCUCAACUCUGGAACUGCCUUUGAUACUGGGUAUCUGGAGUAUGGAAGAGGUGAGUGGAAUUCCUAGUGUAGAGGUGAAAUUCGUAGAUAUUAGGAAGAACACCAGUGGCGAAGGCGGCUCACUGGUCCGGUACUGACGCUGAGGUGCGAAAGCGUGGGGAGCAACAGGG